rnacentral:rRNA from 1 species
UACGUAGGGGGCUAGCGUUGUCCGGAAUCAUUGGGCGUAAAGCGCGCGUAGGCGGCCCGGUAAGUCCGCUGUAAAAGUCCAGGGCUCAACCCUGGAACGCCGGUGGAUACUGUCGGGCUAGAGUCCGGAAGAGGCGAGUGGAAUUCCUGGUGUAGCGGUGAAAUGCGUAGAUAUCUGGAGGAAUACCGGUGGCGAAGGCGGCAUCCUGGACCAAUACUGACGCUGAGGCGCGAAAGCUAGGGGAGCAAACGGG